rnacentral:rRNA from 1 species
ACUCUCGGCAACGGAUAUCUAGGCUCUCGCAUCGAUGAAGAACGUAGCGAAAUGGAUACUUGGUGUGAAUUGCAGAAUCCCGUGAACCAUCGAGUUUUUGAACGCAAGUUGCGCCCGAAGCCAUUAGGCCGAGGGCACGCCUGCCUGGGCGUCACGCAUCGCG